GAAGAACGCAGCGAAAUGCGAUAACUAGUGUGAAUUGCAGAAUUCCGUGAAUCAUCGAGUCUUUGAACGCACAUUGCGCCCCCUGGUAUUCCGGGGGGCAUGCCUGUCCGAGCGUCAUUGCUGCCCAUCAAGCACGGCUUGUGUGUUGGGUCGUCGUCCCCCCCUCCGGGGGGGGACGGGCCCUAAAGGCAGCGGCGGCACCGCGUCCGAUCCUCGAGCGUAUGGGGCUUUGUCACCCGCUCUGUAGGCCCGGCCGGCGCUUGCCGAACGCAAAACAACCAUUCUUUCCAGGUUGACCUCGGAUCAGGUAGGGAUACCCGCUGAACUUAAGCAUAUCAAUAAGCGGAGGA
rnacentral:misc_RNA from 1 species